AGAAAUCCUUGCUGCGGGCUGCGGUGAUCAGGGUAAAGACUCAAGGCCGCCUCUCCCGCCCUGCCUCUCCAGCUCAGAGAAGGAAGCCUGUGAGCCUUCCUGGACUUUGACCCAUUGAGGAAAAGGCGGGAGUCGCAUUCAAACAGGGGAAAGGAACUCUGCCAGCAUUCGCAAACCGACUCUGACUGCCAGGGUUACACCGAGUCCAUUUUCCAGACCCUGUACACUUCUAGCAGAACAAGCUACAUUGGGUGGUAAACUGGGCCACAUCUAAGAAGAAGGCAGAACGUGGAUGCCCCUUAGUCCCUGAGUUGGAGCAGGUGGAAGCCAGGGAGCGGACUUCUUCCUGGGCCUUGUGAAACACCUGUGAGACUCAUCCUGUUGAUAAAGCACAACCGCCCGCCCAGCCCGCGAUAUCCAAGCAUCUAAACGGCCAGGAUCGCUGCCAAGAUGCUUUAAGGGAAAAUACCAGCGACCAGCAGCCAGUGCACUCCCUGUCCAACCUGAGCAACCAGUAAGGGCGGCUGCCUGGGCUGCACGUGGGUGGAAAUGAAAAUGGGGACAAAAUGAGACCUAUCCGA